CUCAUGCGUGUGACCGUUUUAUCCCACCAACGGAGGGAUAAGACAGAUAACAGCAAGUAUUGUGAUGAUAUCCAAUUAGAUAAACUAGAAUUUGAUUAAUUGAAUUAAAUUAAUUGAAUUUAAUUAGAUAAAUUCAAAAGCAGCUAAGAUUUGUAGCUUAAAUGUCAGAUAAGAUCGCGAUGCUGUGAGAGAACGCGAGACUCUGCGAGAACAGCACGAGAAAUUCAACAAGGCGGCGCGACACCGGUAGUAAACAACAGCGCGACAAACUAUCCGCCAAUUUAAAUAAAUAAAUAACUACCUUAUUUUACGGAAAAUAAUCAACCACCCUACCAUUCUGGAUAACACCGAAGAAAGUUUCGAGUAUAUCGACGAGUGCUUCGAGCGUCUGGUAAUGGGGAAAAAGGAGACGGCUCCCAACAAGCAUUCCCGUCCGUCUGACUCACCUGAGUCACCUGGAGCUAGCUCGGCGGACAAAAACAUCACAGACAUCCUGGAGUCCAUAGAAAAAAAAAUAUCAAGCUUCGACGCGCGUCUGGCACUAGUGGAACUCCUCCACAAAGAGUUUAUGGCCCUCCGCGACUCACUGGAAUUCAGCCAGCAGCAGGUGGUUUCUCUCGCCACCGAGAACGAGGCCCUGAAGGGAAUGGUGCAGUCCCUGAUGGAGGAUGUGGCUCAGCUAGCGGCCGAAAAUAAAAAGAUAAAAGAAGGCAUCAUCGAUCUGCAGGCCCGCAGCAUGAGGGACAACCUGGUGUUCUCGGGGAUUCCAGAACAGGCAGAGGAAAACACGGAAACCACAAUUAAAAACUUCCUUAAACAACAGAUGAAGAUUCCAGCGGACAAGAUGGCGUUCCACCGUUCGCACAGACUCGGAGGAAGACGACCGGAUGGCCAGCGCCGUCGACCCAUCGUUGCCAAGUUUCAUGACUUUAAGCAGAAGGAACUGGUUAAGAGCCGGGGCAGACAGCUGAAGGGAACCGACUACAGCGUCAACGACCAAUUCCCCAAGGAGAUCCUCGACCGCCGCCGCCGACUGUUCCCCAUCCGUAAGAGGUUCAUGGCAGAAGGCUGCAGGGCUGUCAUCAGCGUCGACAAACUGUACGUCAACGGAGAGCUCUACCGGACCGGGAAGCAAGUCCGUGGCUCUACUAGCAGGUGGUAA
rnacentral:lncRNA from 1 species